GAUGAAGAACGUAGCGAAAUGCGAUAAGUAGUGUGAAUUGCAGAAUUCAGUGAAUCAUCGAAUCUUUGAACGCACAUUGCGCCCUUUGGUAUUCCAAAGGGCAUGCCUGUUCGAGCGUCAUUUGUACCCUCAAGCUUUGCUUGGUGUUGGGCGUCUUGUCUCUAGCUUUGCUGGAGACUCGCCUUAAAGUAAUUGGCAGCCGGCCUGCUGGUUUCGGAGCGCAGCACAAGUCGCACUCUCUAUCAGCAAAGGUCUAGCAUCCAUUAAGCCUUUUUUUCAACUUUUGACCUCGGAUCAGGUAGGGAUACCCGCUGAACUUAAGCAUAUCAAUAAGCGGAGGA
rnacentral:misc_RNA from 1 species